GACGAACGCUGGCGGCGCGCUUAACACAUGCAAGUCGAACGGAAAGGCCUGCUUUCCCUUGUGGAUUGCGGGUACUCGAGUGGCGAACGGGUGAGUAACACGUGAGUGGUCUGCCCCCAACUUGGGUAUAAGCCUGGGAAACUGGGUCUAAUUCCCGAUAGGACUGCAGGGUGGUGCCUGUGGUGGAAAACGAUUUUCUAGUGGUUGGGGAUGAGCUCGCGGCCUAUCAGCUUGUUGGUGGGGUAAUGGCCUACCAAGGCGGCGACGGGUAGCCGGCCUGGGAUGGUGGACGGCCACAUUGGGACUGAGAUACGGCCCAGACUCCUACGGGAGGCAGCAGUGGGGAAUAUUGCACAAUGGGCGGAAGCCUGAUGCAGCGACGCCGCGUGGGGGAUGACGGCCUUCGGGUUGUAAACUCCUUUCGACCGCGAGGAAGCCACCUGGUUGGAAGGGUGGUGACGGUAGUGGUAGAAGUAGCACCGGCUAACUACGUG
rnacentral:rRNA from 1 species